rnacentral:lncRNA from 7 species
AGAGAGCUCUUAUUUAGCAUUUGAGAGGUGUUUCACUUAGCACUCCUUGGGCUAGGUUUUCUCCUGAACAGUUUACAGGAUCAAGUGAUUCUGGUAUUUAGAUGUAGCAGAAAUGCUAAGUCACAGCUUGCACCACUGAUUGAGCACCUGGUGGGAAGGCAGGGCCAGCCCAGGGGAGCUCAGCUGCAUGCAAUGUACCUGAGUGACCAGAAGGGCUGGAGCCAGGAUCCACCCCUUGCCAGCAUUCAUUUAAGGGUUGGCAGUGGAGGUGAGGGUAUCUCACUGGAGAUCUCUGCAUACCUGAGGUCUUCCAAAGCUGCCAAGUAGUGGAGGAAAGUAAUGCUGGUGACCAGGCCAGAGUCUGUGCCCUGUGUGUAAAGCUCUUGGGAAGGAGGGACAGCAGCACUGCAUGCAGCCUUGUCUGCACCAGCUCUGUGCCAGGGUGGAGAGAAUCAUAGAGCAUCAUGAGCUGACAGAUAUGAGAAAUGAUUUUGGAUUCUCCACUCAAAAGGAGCUUGGAAAGAAUUUUGGAGGAUGGACAAACAACACCGCCCAAAAGUCUGCUUUCUGCCAGGAAGAAAAUAAAGGAAGAAGUCACCACAGUGGCAAAGAACAUGAAGGGAUGCACUUACAGCAAGGCUGACACAAGGAUCCCUUAAGACUCUGCAGGGUCAUAUUACAAUCCAUUGAAGUUUUGUGAAUCUGAAGAAAAAAAUCAGCGACAGGACUCACCAUCUGUUGCAUAAUGAAAGAGACAUGUGAAUAAUAGAAUGUCAGUUGAAAGGGUUGCAAGUGAUCAAAUGUUGUUCAGCACCUCAAUAAUAUUGCCUCAGAAAAAAGGCUUGCUUUAGAUAUCUCAGCACUGCAAGAUUUUGGUUGUUUGUUUGUUUUGUUGUUGAUUCCACAGCUGGGAGUGGUAUUUAGCAUAUAUAUAUAUAUUUACUUAAUGGGUUUCUUGAAAGUGGCAGUACUUGAGGAUAGUGGCAAUGCUCACAGAUACAGACAGCUGCUCCCUUCGCUUUUGAAGUUCAGGGGCUGUGGAGAAUGUACACAUGCAGCUCAUUUUUAUAGAUGUGGGAUUGAAUUCUUAAUUUAAGUCCAAACGCGCCAUACACACAACCCUACCUUACCAGUGUUGUUUUUCUUUGACAUGAAUAAAGACCUGUGAUUUAAUCCUUCCAAACAUUCCAAAAUAAAGGGCAGAUCUG